GCGGAAGGAUCAUUACCAAAAAGGAUACCCUCACCGGUAUACCCCACCCGUGUCUAUCUACUCUUGUUGCUUUGGCAGGCCGUGGUCUCCCACUGUGGGCUCUGCCUGCAUGUGCCUGCCAGAGGACCAAACUCUGAAUUUUAGUGAUGUCUGAGUACUAUAUAAUAGUUAAAACUUUCAACAACGGAUCUCUUGGUUCUGGCAUCGAUGAAGAACGCAGCGAAAUGCGAUAAGUAAUGUGAAUUGCAGAAUUCAGUGAAUCAUCGAAUCUUUGAACGCACAUUGCGCCCUGUGGUAUUCCGCAGGGCAUGCCUGUUCGAGCGUCAUUAUAGCCACUCAAGCCUCGCUUGGUGUUGGGGCUCGCAAUCUUGCGGCCUCUAAAAUCAGUGGCGGUGCCGGUAGGCUCUGAGCGUAGUACAUCUCCUCGCUAUAGAGUCCUGUCGGUCCCCUGCCAAAACCCCCAUAUUUUAUAGGUUGACCUCGGAUCAGGUAGGGAUACCCGCUGAACUUAAGCAUAUCAAUAAGCGGAGGA
rnacentral:rRNA from 1 species